GACGAACGCUGACGGCGUGCUUAACACAUGCAAGACGAAGGGAGUGGCGAAAGGGUGAGUAACACGUGAGUAACCUGCCAUUUUCUUGGGGAUAAGCCUGGGAAACUGGGUCUAAUACUGGAUGGAUUGGGAUGGGCUCGCGGCUUAUCAGCUUGUUGGUGGGGUGAUGGCAUACCAAGGCUUUGAAGGGUAGCCGGCCUGAGAGGGUGGUCGGUCACACUGGUACUUAGAUACGGCCCAGACUCCUACGGGAGGCAGCAGUGGGGGAUAUUGCACAAUGGACGAAAGUCUGAUGCAGCGACGUCGUGUGGGUGAUGAAGGCCUUCGGGUUGUAAAGUACUUUCAGCCGGGAGGCGUUACCCGCAGAAGAAGCACCGGCUAACUCCGUGCCAGCAGCCGCGGUAAUAC
rnacentral:rRNA from 1 species